rnacentral:tRNA from 1 species
UGGGCCGAAGCCGCGAGGAUUAUCACUUUUAAUGACACGGUCGUGGGUUCGAAUCCCACCCGCCCCACCA